UACGUAGGGUGCGAGCGUUGUCCGGAAUUAUUGGGCGUAAAGGGCUCGUAGGCGGUUUGUCGCGUCGGGAGUGAAAACCAGGUGCUUAACACCUGGCUUGCUUUCGAUACGGGCAGACUAGAGGUAUUCAGGGGAGAACGGAAUUCCUGGUGUAGCGGUGAAAUGCGCAGAUGUCAGGAGGAACACCGGUGGCGAAGGCGGUUCUCUGGGAAUGACCUGACGCUGAGGAGCGAAAGUGUGGGGAGCGAACAGG
rnacentral:rRNA from 1 species